rnacentral:lncRNA from 1 species
GUAAUGCGCAGUUCUAAACAGAUUUUUUUGAUACAGGAUUUUAAAUAAAAUUAAUUUUUAUAUUUCUUACAUUAUAUUUCUUAUAAUAUGAGCGAAGAUCAAGAUCUACCCAAUGCAUGUGAAUUUAUCAAAGAACGACUCUACUUUGUUGCACUAAGAAACAAACCCAGAGAAACUUCUUCGCUUCAUUAUUUUUGUAUUGAUGACGAAUUAAUAUAUGAAAAUUUUUAUUCUGAUUUUGGUCCUCUCAAUAUUUCAAUGCUUUAUCGUUACUGUGAUAAAGUCAACAAGAAA